AUUGAACGCUGGCGGAAUGCUUUACACAUGCAAGUCGAACGGCAGCACGGACUUCGGUCUGGUGGCGAGUGGCGAACGGGUGAGUAAUGUAUCGGAACGUGCCCAGUCGUGGGGGAUAACGUAGUGAAAAUUACGCUAAUACCGCAUACGAUCUAUGGAUGAAAGCGGGGGAUCGCAAGACCUCGCGCGAUUGGAGCGGCCGAUAUCAGAUUAGGUAGUUGGUGGGGUAAAGGCACACCAAGCCAACGAUCUGUAGCUGGUCUGAGGGGACGACAAGCCACACUGGAACUGAGACACGGUCCAGACUCCUACGGGAGGCAGCAGUGGGGAAUUUUGGACAAUGGGCGAAAGCCUGAUCCAGCCAUUCCGCGUGCAGGAUGAAGGCCCUCGGGUUGUAAACUGCUUUUGUACAGAACGAAAAGGUUUCUACUAAUACUAGGAGCUCAUGACGGUACUGUAAGAAUAAGCACCGGCUAACUACGUGCCAGCCGCCGCCGUAA
rnacentral:rRNA from 1 species